rnacentral:misc_RNA from 1 species
UCCUGYGUUGCUUGCCCAACGUGACGGAAAUCGGYCCUGGAUGAGUCCUAAUUUUUGCCUCUCACCCACACAUGGUGUUAGGUUGACGUGGAAGUACUACCCAUUUUCCUUGAGUGCUUCGCGCUUUCGCGUUGCAAUCAUGGCCCAUGGGUCGCUGCUAGUUCCCUCARAUGCAGAACUUGUGAAGGGCGCACAGCAUGUUACUGUUGUUUACCCACAAAGCRUUCAUCGGUCGGUGCRUACGACAGCUGUGCCCGUCGUGGUCCCUUGUCUAACUNGUUUGGAUGGGGCUCAUGCGGUGCCGGUGUCGGUAAGGAAUGCUACCUGGUUGAUCCUGCCAGUAGUCAUAUGCUUAUCUCAA